UGGAUCCAGACUUUGAUUUGGCUCAGGAUGAACGCUAGCUACAGGCUUAACACAUGCAAGUCGAGGGGCAGCAUGACGAUAGCUUGCUAUUGUUGAUGGCGACCGGCGCACGGGUGAGUAACGCGUAUCCAACCUUCCCGUUGCUAGGGGAUAACCUUGCGAAAGUAAGACUAAUACCCUAUGAUGUUCUUCGCAGGCAUCUAAAGAGAACCAAAGAUUUAUCGGCAACGGAUGGGGAUGCGUCUGAUUAGGUUGUUGGCGGGGUAACGGCCCACCAAGCCUACGAUCAGUAGGGGUUCUGAGAGGAAGGUCCCCCACAUUGGAACUGAGACACGGUCCAAACUCCUACGGGAGGCAGCAGUGAGGAAUAUUGGUCAAUGGACGGAAGUCUGAACCAGCCAAGUAGCGUGCAGGACGACGGCCCUAUGGGUUGUAAACUGCUUUUAUGUGGGAAUAAAGUGAGGGACGUGUCCCUUUUUGUAGGUACCACAUGAAUAAGGACCGGCUAAUUCCGUGCCAGCAGCCGCGGUAAUACGGAAGGUCCGGGCGUUAUCCGGAUUUAUUGGGUUUAAAGGGAGCGUAGGCCGUCUUUUAAGCGUGUUGUGAAAUACUGUCGCUCAACGACAGAGGUGCAGCGCGAACUGGGAGACUUGAGUGCGCGGAAUGCAGGCGGAAUUCGUCGUGUAGCGGUGAAAUGCUUAGAUAUGACGAAGAACUCCGAUUGCGAAGGCAGCUUGCAGUAGCGUAACUGACGCUGAAGCUCGAAAGUGCGGGUAUCGAACAGGAUUAGAUACCCUGGUAGUCCGCACGGUAAACGAUGGAUGCUCGCUGUGUGCCCCUGGGUACGCGGCCAAGCGAAAGCGUUAAGCAUCCCACCUGGGGAGUACGCCGGCAACGGUGCAACUCAAAGGAAUUGACGGA
rnacentral:rRNA from 1 species